GGGAUUGCCUUAGUAACGGCGAGUGAAGCGGCAAAAGCUCAAAUUUGAAAUCUGGUACCUUCGGUGCCCGAGUUGUAAUUUGGAGAGGGCAACUUUGGGGCCGUUCCUUGUCUAUGUUCCUUGGAACAGGACGUCAUAGAGGGUGAGAAUCCCGUGUGGCGAGGAGUGCGGUUCUUUGUAAAGUGCCUUCGAAGAGUCGAGUUGUUUGGGAAUGCAGCUCUAAGUGGGUGGUAAAUUCCAUCUAAAGCUAAAUAUUGGCGAGAGACCGAUAGCGAACAAGUACAGUGAUGGAAAGAUGAAAAGAACUUUGAAAAGAGAGUGAAAAAGUACGUGAAAUUGUUGAAAGGGAAGGGCAUUUGAUCAGACAUGGUGUUUUGUGCCCUCUGCUCCUUGUGGGUAGGGGAAUCUCGCAUUUCACUGGGCCAGCAUCAGUUUUGGUGGCAGGAUAAAUCCAUAGGAAUGUAGCUUGCCUCGGUAAGUAUUAUAGCCUGUGGGAAUACUGCCAGCUGGGACUGAGGACUGCGACGUAAGUCAAGGAUGCUGGCAUAAUGGUUAUAUGCCGCCCGUCUUGAAACACGGACCUCCUGUGUGAAG
rnacentral:rRNA from 1 species